GCCUGCGUAGCUCAACUGGCUAGAGCAACGGUCUCCAAAACCGAUGGUUGAGGGUUCAAAUCCUUUCGCAGGCG
rnacentral:tRNA from 1 species